GACGAACGCUGGCGGCAUGCCUAACACAUGCAAGUCGAGCGAGCAGAUCCCUUCGGGGUGAAGCUAGCGGCGGACGGGUGGGUAACACGUGGGCAACCUGCCUCAUAGAGGGGAAUAGCCUUCCGAAAGGAAGAUUAAUACCGCAUAAGAUUGUAGCUUCGCAUGGAGCAGCAAUUAAAGGAGCAAUCCGCUAUGAGAUGGGCCCGCGGCGCAUUAGCUAGUUGGUGAGGUAACGGCUCACCAAGGCGACGAUGCGUAGCCGGCCUGAGAGGGUGAUCGGCCACAUUGGGACUGAGACACGGCCCAGACUCCUACGGGAGGCAGCAGUGGGGAAUAUUGCACAAUGGGGGAAACCCUGAUGCAGCAAUGCCGCGUGAGUGAUGACGGCCUCGGGUUGUAAAGCUCUGUCUUCGGGGACGAUAAUGACGGUACCCGAGGAGGAAGCCACGGCUAACUACGUGCCAGCCGCCGCCGUAA
rnacentral:rRNA from 1 species